rnacentral:rRNA from 1 species
GGGGAAUAUUGCACAAUGGGGGAAACCCUGAUGCAGCAACGCCGCGUGGAGGAAGAAGGUUUUCGGAUUGUAAACUCCUGUCUUUUGGGACGAUAAUGACGGUACCAAAAGAGGAAGCCACGGCUAACUACGUGCCAGCAGCCGCGGUAAUACGUAGGUGGCGAGCGUUGUCCGGAAUUACUGGGCGUAAAGGGCGCGUAGGCGGCCUGUUAAGUCAGAUGUGAAAACCCCAGGCUCAACCUGGGGACUGCAUAUGAAACUGAUGGGCUAGAGUGUCGGAGAGGGAAGCGGAAUUCCUAGUGUAGCGGUGAAAUGCGUAGAUAUUAGGGGGAACACCAGCGGCGAAGGCGGCUUUCUGGACGAUAACUGACGCUGAGGCGCGAAAGCGUGGGGAGCAAAC